UAAUCAUGAUGAUAUUAAUGGUCCGUGUUUCUGAGUGACAAUGAUUAUUUAUAACCAUUACUGAGUUA
rnacentral:snoRNA from 1 species